rnacentral:lncRNA from 1 species
AUAACAUAAAAGUGUCAGAAGCAAUCACAGCAGUGUAAAGUGUUAUUAUAGAACAGUGACUGUACAAAUACAUUAAGUCUCACAUCCAAUGCAGUAAUGUAUUAAAGCAUAUGAUCAUGUAGUCAGAUAUUGAAGCCAACAAAAGCUGCAGCGUUUGGGUGGAAACCAGCAGCCCCCUUUGAGAACUUCAUUUGGUGAACUGUUAACGGUCUCAAGUGUGCAACUUGAAUAACUGACAAGCCUCUUCUGUCUCCGACCCACACUAACCCCCACCCCUGGGACCCCCUGAGUUCUGCAUACCUUGCUGGCUUUAAAAGACAGUUAUUAACAGCAAAUUGGUUCACUUGAAAAAGAAAACAAAACUCAAAAAAGUCCUUUUUUAAUUGAGAAAAAAUAUUCCAAAAAAAAAUGUCACCCAGAAUACAAAAAAAGACAGUGUAGUGGUCAGACUCCCAGUGGCAAUGCAUCUUCUUUCCUUUUCAGUAUUUAGUAUAAAGCCAAUUCACUGUCUAAGAAAAACAAGCCCCCUGAAACGGAACACACCCUUUUCCAAGUUGCUAAACUCCAAGCUGGUUACCCUUACUAAAUCCACUCAAGUAUUCUCAAAAUAUUUGGGCUUCUCAAUGUACCCAGCCUGCUGGGCACUUGUAAAUAAAAGGCAUUUGAUACUCUACCUAAGAACUCCCUGCUAUCAUUUUUAAUGCUUUCACAUGUUAAAAACUGCUUUACCGUAACUUUUGGAUGUAUUUGGACUCAAUGAAAGCAUGAGCACGACCGAAGAGAAACUGAGUAAAUCAAUCUAAGUAUACUAUUGAAGCAGCAUGCAUAUGACUAGGAGUGGUUGCUGUGUGGGGUGUCAAGAGGAAACAUGGGGGAAAAGAACAUGGGGAAUGAGUGAAGUCCCUGUACACCCUAUUUAAACAAACACUGCAAUCCAGCAUGGCUUCGGGGUGCACUCACCAUGAAGCUAACAGUAAUCCAACCAACUAGGCUACUCUCAGGGAACAGCAUCUGCUAUGUUAAUGG